rnacentral:rRNA from 1 species
GAGGAAGCUUGCUUUCUCCGCCGGCGACCGGCGCACGGGUGAGUAACACGUAUGCAACCUGCCCCUGUCAGGGGGACAACCCGCCGAAAGGCGGGCUAAACCCGCGUACAUGCCACCGGGGCAUCCCGGAGGCAGGAAAGGCUUCGGCCGGACAGGGAUGGGCAUGCGGCGCAUUAGGCAGUAGGCGGGGUAACGGCCCACCUAACCGACGAUGCGUAGGGGUUCUGAGAGGAAGGUCCCCCACACUGGUACUGAGACACGGACCAGACUCCUACGGGAGGCAGCAGUGAGGAAUAUUGGUCAAUGGUCGGGAGACUGAACCAGCCAAGCCGCGUGAGGGAGGAAGGUACAGAGUAUCGUAAACCUCUUUUGUCAGGGAACAAAGGCGGGGACGUGUCCCCGGAUGAGUGUACCUGAAAAAAAAGCAUCGGCUAACUCCGUGCCAGCAACCGCGGUAAUACCGACGAUGCGAGCGUUAUCCGGAUUUAUUGAGUUAAAAGGGUGCGCACGCGGUCUGUUNGGUCUGCGGUCUUUGCCCGGGGCUCUCCCCCGGCCCGCCGUUGCCUCUGGCCGUCUCGCGUGGCGUGCUGUCUGCGGCGUGCGCGGUGUGCGGUGNNCUGCNUCGCUUUCGUGAAGGACUCCGNUUGCGNNGGCNGCNUGCCGGCUCCNCCCUGNCGCUNNNGCCCCANAGCGUGGGUNUCUUUUAAAGGCCCCCCCCCCCCCCCCCCCCCCCACCCCACGAACCUUUUAUUGUAUCCGGGGGGAUUGACCCCUGGGUGGCGAAGCGAAAGCGAUAAGCAUUCCACCUGGGGAGUACGCCGGCAACGGUGAAACUCAAAGGAAUUGACGGGGGCCCGCACAAGCGGAGGAACAUGUGGUUUAAUUCGAUGAUACGCGAGGAACCUUACCCGGGCUCAAACGGGGAGUGACUCAGGCAGAGACGCCUGUUUCCCACGGGACACUCCCCGAGGUGCUGCAUGGUUGUCGUCAGCUCGUGCCGUGAGGUGUCGGCUUAAGUGCCAUAACGAGCGCAACCCCCGCGUGCAGUUGCUAACAGAUAACGCUGAGGACUCUGCACGGACUGCCGGCGCAAGCCGCGAGGAAGGCGGGGAUGACGUCAAAUCAGCACGGCCCUUACGUCCGGGGCGACACACGUGUUACAAUGGGUGGUACAGCGGGAAGCCAGGCGGCGACGCCGAGCGGAACCCGAAAUCCACUCUCAGUUCGGAUCGGAGUCUGCAACCCGACUCCGUGAAGCUGGAUUCGCUAGUAAUCGC